rnacentral:rRNA from 1 species
CCCUUAGAUGUUCUGGGCUGCACACGUGCUACACUGGCAGGUUCAGCGAGCUUCAUGCCCUGAUCUGAAAGGAAUGGGAAAUCUUUUCAAAACCUGCCGUGCUUGGGAUAGAUGUUUGCAAUUAUUCAUCUUCAACGAGGAUUGACUUGUAAGCGCACGUCAUCAGCGUGCAUUGAAUACGACCCUGUAUUCUGUACACACCGCCCGUCGCUCCUACCGAUUGAAGUUUUCGGUGAGUUGACAGGAGGAUUUUUUUGAAACUGGUUCGCCAGUGGAUUUUAGAUCCAAAUGCCAACGAAUCGACGGCUUUAGAGGAAGGAGAAGUCGUAACA